GGCGCCGUGGCUUGGUUGGUUAAAAAGGCGCCUGUCUAGUAAACAGGAGAUCGCGAGUUCGAAUCUCGCCGGGGCCU